rnacentral:rRNA from 1 species
GGGUUGUGAGGUUAAGCGACUAAGCGUACACGGUGGAUGCCCUGGCAGUCAGAGGCGAUGAAGGACGUGCUAAUCUGCGAUAAGCGCCGGUAAGGUGAUAUGAACCGUUAUAACCGGCGAUUUCCGAAUGGGGAAACCCAGUGUGAUUCGUCACACUAUCAUUAACUGAAUCCAUAGGUUAAUGAGGCGAACCGGGGGAACUGAAACAUCUAAGUACCCCGAGGAAAAGAAAUCAACCGAGAUUCCCCCAGUAGCGGCGAGCGAACGGGGAGCAGCCCAGAGCCUGAAUCAGCAUGUGUGUUAGUGGAAGCGUCUGGAAAGGCGCGCGAUACAGGGUGACAGCCCCGUACACAAAAGCGCAUGUGCUGUGAGCUCGAUGAGUAGGGCGGGACACGUGGUAUCCUGUCUGAAUAUGGGGGGACCAUCCUCCAAGGCUAAAUACUCCUGACUGACCGAUAGUGAACCAGUACCGUGAGGGAAAGGCGAAAAGAACCCCGGCGAGGGGAGUGAAAAAGAACCUGAAACCGUGUACGUACAAGCAGUGGGAGCCCCACCACUAAGCCAGUGGUGAACUCCACAUACGCAUCCUUUGCUGAAGGCAAUGGUUAACGGAGCGAAAGCGACGUUCAACCUCAAAAAAAGCAGAGGGGGCUUAGUGGUGGGGUGACUGCGUACCUUUUGUAUAAUGGGUCAGCGACUUAUAUUCUGUAGCAAGGUUAACCGUAUAGGGGAGCCGUAGGGAAACCGAGUCUUAAC